UGACUCCUGAAGUUCUUGGAUGGUUAAAAACAAAGACUCGGGUCUUGGGAUCUUUGUUGUCAUAACGAUACCGAAGGUCGUUUUGAAGAAGGGUGGUGGUUAUAUAAAAAGACAGAAAUGUAUGGAAGAAUUGUUUGCAAUUGAACCUCUGGUGGAAGGGAUCCUUUUGAGUUUCUAGGGGCUCAUACAUCAUGAAGAAGUUGGCGCUUUUCGUUUUUGUAGCAGUACUGAGCACAGUUAUGGCAACUUACGUAGUACCUUACUAUCCACCACUGACAGCACCCAUCGCUGCAGCUCCAUUUUAUAAUCCGCUAGUGUACUCUUAUAAUUAUGGAUAUACAGCACCAUUUUCAGCUCUUUGGCCUCUUUGGUAUGGAAAGUAAACAAAAUCUAAAGCUUGGAAAUUUAAAAAUUGGUUGUUUCGGCGCCAGAAAAGAAUGUUCACUGACGGUAAAAAAAAAAAAAAAAUGCAAAACAUCUUGCAAUCGAUAUGAAUAAAGUUUGUUGUAAACCAAUACUUUGACUAAAUGUUUA